rnacentral:lncRNA from 1 species
AAAGAAUUUCACUGUUUCAAGAACUGCUGACGGCCCACCACUCCAGAUCAAUCCGGUCCACGGCAAAGUCACUGGGGAAGUCGUUUUAUAGAUAUGAUGAAAUAGAGAUAAAGAAUAAAACAGAGAAGAAUGGAAAUCAAGGAGAGACAUGCUAAAGAUCACUAAAGUAUGAUAGAGAAUUCAAUUAGAUCAAAGAACGUUGGACGUUAUUUGACAGUGUUUAAUAGGAAGCAGCUGCAUUGGGAAGUCUUUGGAUUUACCUGGAUAUUUCUGUCCGAUAUUUGGAGGAAAAAUUCUGGGCAAUGGCAGUUCAUGAUAUCUGUUGAAACAAAUUAAUUCUGUAAAAUGAGAGAUUUACAAGAAACCUGAAGAUUUACCGCAAAUUUACAAGAUUUACAAGAAACUACCAGGGCUUCCCUGGUGGCUCAGACAGUAAAGAAUCUGCCUGAAGUGCAGGAGACCAAGGUUCGAUCCCUGGGUCAGAAAGAUUCCUCCCGGAGAAAGGAACGGCAGUCCACUCCAGUAUUCUUGCCUGGGAGAUCCCGUGGACAGAGGCUAUGGCCCAUGGGGUCGCAAAGAAUCAGACACAACUGAGUGAC